rnacentral:rRNA from 1 species
AUGGCCUACCAAGGCUUUGACGGGUAGCCGGCCUGAGAGGGUGACCGGUCACACUGGGACUGAGAUACGGCCCAGACUCCUACGGGAGGCAGCAGUGGGGAAUAUUGCACAAUGGGCGAAAGCCUGAUGCAGCGACGCCGCGUGAGGGAUGACGGCCUUCGGGUUGUAAACCUCUUUCAGUAAGGACGCAGGCCUAGGCUUUUGUUUGGGUUGACUUUACUUACAGAAGAAGCGCCGGCUAACUACGUGCCAGCAGCCGCGGUAAUACGUAGGGCGCAAGCGUUGUCCGGAAUUAUUGGGCGUAAAGAGCUCGUAGGCGGUUUGUCGCGUCUGUCGUGAAAACCCACAGCUUAACUGUGGGCUUGCGGUGGGUACGGGCAGGCUUGAGUGCGGUAGGGGAGACUGGAAUUCCUGGUGUAGCGGUGGAAUGCGCAGAUAUCAGGAGGAACACCGGUGGCGAAGGCGGGUCUCUGGGCCGUUACUGACGCUGAGGAGCGAAAGCAUGGGGAGCGAACAGGAUUAGAUACCCUGGUAGUCCAUGCCGUAAACGUUGGGCACUAGGUGUGGGGGCUGUUUCCAUGGUUCCUGCGCCGUAGCUAACGCAUUAAGUGCCCCGCCUGGGGAGUACGGUCGCAAGGCUAAAACUCAAAGGAAUUGACGGGGGCCCGCACAAGCGGCGGAGCAUGCGGAUUAAUUCGAUGCAACGCGAAGAACCUUACCAAGGCUUGACAUACAUCCAGAGUCUGCAGAGAUGUGGGCGCAUUUAGUUGGGGGUGUACAGGUGGUGCAUGGUUGUCGUCAGCUCGUGUCGUGAGAUGUUGGGUUAAGUCCCGCAACGAGCGCAACCCUUGUCUCAUGUUGCCAGCACGUUAUGGUGGGGACUCGUGAGAGACUGCCGGGGUUAACUCGGAGGAAGGUGGGGAUGACGUCAAAUCAUCAUGCCCCUUAUGUCUUGGGCUUCACGCAUGCUACAAUGGCCAGUACAGAGGGUUGCGAUAUCGUAAGGUUGAGCGAAUCCCUUAAAGCUGGUCUCAGUUCGGAUUGGGGUCUGCAACUCGACCCCAUGAAGUCGGAGUCGCUAGUAAUCGCAGAUCAGCAACGCUGCGGUGAAUACGUUCUCGGGCCUUGUACACACCGCCCGUCACGUCACGAAAGUUGGUAACACCCGAAGCCCAUGGCCUAACCG